UUAUUUUCCUUUUUAGGUUAGCACUUUAUAUUUUCUAAGAAAACCUUACAUAUUUUUGGUACUGCUCUUUUUUUUUUUUUUUUUUUUUUUUGAGGCGGAAUCUCUCUCGCCCAGGCUGGAGUGCAGUGGCGCGAUCUCAGCUCACUGCAAGCUCCGCCUCCCGGGUUCACGCCAUUCUCCCGCCUCAGCCUCCCUCAGCGUCCGGAGUAGCUAGGACUACAGGCGCCCGCUACCACGCCCGGCUAAUUUUUUUGUAGUUUUAGUAGAGACGGGGUUUCACCGUGUUAGCCAGGAUGGUCUCCAUCUCCUGACCUCGUGAUCCGCCCGCCUCGGCCUCCCAAAGCGUUGGGAUUACAGGAGUGAGCCACCGCGCCCGGCCGAUUCUUGAAGAAACUGCUCUCAUAAGCUAAGGUUCCUUAUGAUUCUGCAAGGAAGAGAAGACUAAAGCAAAUCACUGUCUGAAAACAUAACAGCUGGCUAAAGGAACCCGUUGUUGCUCAGACACCCGAUGUGGAAAUUUUUCUUCUCCCUCAGUUCAAAUGAGAUAAAGAUCCUCCUCUCCUCACAGUGAACAUGAGGUCACAGUGUCCAUGUAACUAACUCCUGGUUAAGAGGAUAUGGAUAGAAGGCACAUGUUCAACUUCUGGCUUCUGUCCUUGAAAAGUGUGAUGAUUCCAUCCUUUGCUGUCUUCCUUCCCGCUGACUGGAAUGUGGACUUGGUAGUGAGCUACCUUGGACUAUGUGGAUGAAGACAAAGAUAAAAGGAACCAAGGACUCUGAUGAUUCUGUAGAGAAGAGGAACCGUAGCUGCUCAAACGUUCAUGUGAAAGAAGAAUAAACUAUCAGAUUUAAGCCACUGCUAUUUUGGGUCUUUGUGAUAAACAGUGUUUACCAUAUCCUAAUUCACUAUUCCUUCCAUUUCUAGGUCAACCAUGUUGAAUUAAAUAUAGUGCUCUAACUUGCA
rnacentral:lncRNA from 1 species